AAUUCCAAUAACUUGAUUCUGAGAUGGGUUCUUCAUGCCGAUGGAAGAUUUCCCACUUCAGAUACAAAUUGGAAGAGAAGACUGCUAUGCCAGAUCAAUUGUUUAAACUGUGAAGUAUUUAUAGGAAAAAGUUUAUGGGAGGUAAAUCUUUAACCUUUUUAUGGCAUGGGUCAUGUAAGGUUCAUCAAUGACAGUAAGGGCAAGACAAAGGACAUUUAAAAAUAAGAAAAAUUAACCGAUAAGCUUUAGCUCAGUGGUGCUACAUUUGUAUCCAAAACUGUGAAAUCUUAAGUUUGAGUCUCAGUUAAAGCCAAAAAAAUAAAUAAGAAAAAUGAGAAGAUGGAAAGCUCUAGUUGCUUUAGAAAAGUUGUUGUACAAAGGUUCAAGCUUCCAUUUAAGAAAUUCUACAAGGAAAAGGGUUAGGCGUUCAAACACAGCUAGUUUUUGUAUCCCAAGUAGCUGGAACAAAU
rnacentral:misc_RNA from 1 species